UAUAAGAAAAUCAAACAAAUUCUGUCAAAUAAUGUGAUCGAUAAAAAUGGUCGAUCAAGGAAAAAUUAUUCGUAUUUCACUUGAAUCAGUUGGAACACAAUUCAUGCAAACUGGAUAGAAAGUGGCAAACAUUAAGUGGUGCAACCGGUUAUACAAAACGCAAUAUUCCUAUUUCAAAAUUGUUGAUAUGGACUUCGAACGGGAAGAUAUGGACAUCGAAAAUCUUUAGUUUCAACAGAAUGAUGCCAUUAUACAGCACGAGAAAUAUUACAAUUACGGCUCACUAAGUUUCCAGAUCGCAUUAUUUACUCCCAUUGGUCCCCAUUAUCUUGUGGCCUAAUUUUCUCCAUCCUUAUUCGAUUUGGAGAUAUUUUAAGACAACAGUCAAGAGGACGCAAAAUAUAUAACAUAGAACCAGAUUUGUGCUGCAUAAUAGAAAAAUUCUUCAAACUUCAAAUUUACGCCAUAUAUGCAUCGCGUAAAAUUAGGGGUACCGGUAUAAAGUGGUCUACCAGGAAAUGAGAAAGUACAUGAAUUUGCUAGAAGAGGAUCUGCUAGUGUCUUUAUUGGAUCAGAGGAUAUACAGGGUGUACCUUAAAGACGUGCUAAUAUUUAAAAGGGUGAUUCCUGGACCCAUUUUAAGAAAAAAAGUUUCUAUGAACAUAUAUCCUAAACGUCUUAACUUUUGAAAUACAAGGUGUUAAGGUUUUCAAAAAAAAAUCAGUUUUUUAAUAAUAACUUAAACAAUAAUGUAGAUACAUAGACAUUUUUAUGAAAUUUGGUACAUGUAUUCUUUGCAUCAAGACGCAUUUUUUGAUGUGCAAAAAAACUUUUUCUCUGCCAGUGGCGUUCCCAUAGGUCUUCUAUUAAAUAUUUUUAGUGAAAAAAUUACUACGCCACUACUUUUCUUGAAAUAAUUUGUUUUUCAAAACAAUGAAAAGUUAAAUUUUCAAGUUUAAAACUUCGCAAUAAAGCACUUAAUAGAUUCCAAGCCACUAAAAACCCCAAUCACUGGGUUUACUAUAAAGAACUUCGUAAUUUUACAACAUCGACCAUAAGAGCUGAAAAAAAAGCUUAUCUGAAUACCACCUUUAAGCAAGGUACCACUAAGCAGAAAUGGCAAGAACUUAAAAAAAUAAAUAUAAUAAAAAAUAGAUCAAACCACAUUCCAGAACAUUUGUCCAACGUUCAUGAAUUAAAUAAUUAUUUUUCAUUGAUGAAUACCAAUAAUCAAAACAUACAUAAUGAAACAUUAUUAUCCUAUCUAAAUAACAAGCUCAAUAUUACAAAUUCAUUUUCUUUUAUUUCUGUGGCAGAUUUAUAUUAAAAGUAGUUUAUAACCUAAAAUCAAAUGCAAUUGGCCAAGAUAAAUUAAAUUUAAAUCUUAUUUUAUUCUGUUGUCCAUUUUUAAUUCCUCAUAUUAGACAUCUUGUAAACUUUUGCUUGAUAUCAGGUACAUUUCCUGAUUCAUGGAAGCAAGCCAAACUCAGUCCAUUGUGCAAAUGUAACAACCCUAAGGAAUUUAGCGACCUUCGAUCAUUCUCUAUCCUUCCUUGCUUAUCCAAGAUUUUAGACAAAGUAUUGGAGACUCAGAUUGGCAGUUUUGUAAAUUCUAAUAAUAUUUUACCCGUUAAAUAAUCCGGUUUUAGACAGGGGCAUAGUUGUGAGACAACUCUUGCUGAGGUCAGUGAUUCAAUAUUUAAAUCAUUAGAUUUGAAAAAUGCAUCUGUUCUUAAUAUGCUAAACUUCUGUAAAGCAUUUGAUACUUUAAACCAUGAACUGUUGUUGGCAGUACUACAGUAUAUUGGAUUGUCUGACAUGGCAUUAGGGCUAAUUAAAUCAUAUUUAACACAUAGGUUUCAAAGAGUUUGCAUCGGUGACUCUCUUUCAAGUAGUGCAAAAAUAAAACAGCUGGUGUUCCUCAAGGAAGCAUUCUGGGCCCUCUCCGAUAUUCUAUUUACAUUUGUAAUAUCUACAAAUGUCUUCAAUACUGUGAUCACCAUAUGUAUGCUGAUGAUACCCAAUUAAUUUACAGCUUCACUGUUCCUGGUACUGAGGAAGCCAAUUUAAAAAUAGAUAGUGAUCUUCAGUACUUAUACGAAAAAUCGACAAAUAUUCAGCUUAAACUAAAUCCAGCCAAAUCCGAAGCAAUUGUGUUUGCCAGUGACAUUCACUCAUUAAUGAUCUACACUUAAAAAUAGGAAACGAAAAGAUUACUAUUAAAGAUAGUGCAAAAAACUUCUAAUUUAUGGUCUAAUUAUAGAUCAUAAAUUACGAUUUAAAGAACACAUCACAACAAAACUUAAAAUAGCCUAUUCAACCUUAAAAAUGCUUUAUUCACACAGGCAUUAUUUAAAUCAAACAACAAAAAAAAACAUUAUGCGAAUCCUUAGUCUUAUCUCACUUUAACUUUUUUGACCCAAUUUAUGGCCCAUGUCGAAUUCAAGUUGUUCAAAACUCCUGUCUAAGAUUUAUUUUUAGUAUACGAAGACGCAACAGCAUUACUUAUAAGCUUAAAGAUGUAAAAUGGUUAGAUAUGGCAAGACGUAGAGAGCUACAUUCAGUUUUUCACAUUUAGAAAUUCAAUUUGGAAAAAAAUGUUUGAUUAAUAUGUAAUCUAUUUAAUUAUACAAUAUGUGACGUAGCACUGCAUUUAUAGCGUCAUCUCUUCUUUUCUCUUCUUUACGCUUCUUUUCUUUCGAUCUCACUUACUGUUCUUUCUCUCUUUCUCCUUCUUUAUUUUGUAAAUAUAUUCUUAUAUAUAUAAUUAUAAAAAAGUAAAUAAAUAAAAGUAAAUAAACAGUCUACUUCGUGGUUUCAACAGCCCCUACGUAAUUGUUAGGAUGCUAAAAAUUAGGUCAUUUAAUUCCGCACAAUUAUAUUAUUAUUAUUAUUAUUAUUAUUAUUAUUAUUAUUAUUAUUAUAUAUUAUUAUUAUUUGCGUUAAAUAAAAGCGUAAACGGCAUUUAAAUUUAUUAAUUUUUUUAACUUAUUAAUUUUUUUUAAAAAUCGACGAACAAACAUUUUUACACCGCAUUAGAUUUUCAGGGAAUUAAAAUUGAAGAAGUCGUUAAAAUUUCUACAAUAUUGUUUAAGUUAUUAUUAAAAAACUGAUUUUUUUUAACUUUAACUAAAGUUAAGACGUUUAGGACAUAUGUUCAUAGGAACUUUUUUUCUUAAAAUGGGUCCAGGA